rnacentral:rRNA from 1 species
GCCCAAGAGAUCGGGAUAACACCUGGAAACAGAUGCUAAUACCGGAUAACAANAGAUGAUGCCUAUCAACUGUUUAAAAGAUGGUUCUGCUAUCACUCUUGGAUGGACCUGCGGUGCAUUAGCUAGUUGGUAGGGUAACGGCCUACCAAGGCGAUGAUGCAUAGCCGAGUUGAGAGACUGAUCGGCCACAUUGGGACUGAGACACGGCCCAAACUCCUACGGGAGGCAGCAGAG